GCCGGAGUGGUGGAACUGGCAGACACGCAGGUCUUAGGUACCUGUGCCUUCGGGUGUGCGGGUUCGAGUCCCGCCUCCGGCA
rnacentral:tRNA from 1 species